rnacentral:rRNA from 1 species
AUACCGUGAAACUGCGAAUGGCUCAUUAAAUCAGUUAUCGUUUAUUUGAUAAUACCUUACUACUUGGAUAACCGUGGUAAUUCUAGAGCUAAUACAUGCUGAAAAUCCCGACUUCGGAAGGGAUGUGUUUAUUAGAUAAAAAACCAAUGCCCUUCGGGGCUUUUUGGUGAUUCAUGAUAACUUUACGGAUCGCAUAGCCUUGCGCUGGCGACGGUUCAUUCAAAUUUCUGCCCUAUCAACUUUCGAUGGUAAGGUAUUGGCUUACCAUGGUUUCAACGGGUAACGGGGAAUUAGGGUUCGAYUCCGGAGAGGGAGCCUGAGAAACGGCUACCACAUCCAAGGAAGGCAGCAGGCGCGCAAAUUACCCAAUCCCGACACGGGGAGGUAGUGACAAUAAAUACUGAUACAGGGCUCUUUUGGGUCUUGUAAUUGGAAUGAGUACAAUUUAAAUCCCUUAACGAGGAACAAUUGGAGGGCAAGUCUGGUGCCAGCAGCCGCGGUAAUUCCAGCUCCAAUAGCGUAUAUUAAAGUUGUUGCAGUUAAAAAGCUCGUAGUUGAACCUUGGGCCUGGCUGGCCGGUCCGCCUCACCGCGUGUACUGGUCCGGCCGGGCCUUUCCUUCUGGGGAACCUCAUGCCCUUCACUGGGCGUGUUGGGGAACCAGGACUUUUACUUUGAAAAAAUUAGAGUGUUCAAAGCAGGCCUUUGCUCGAAUACAUUAGCAUGGAAUAAUAGAAUAGGACGUGUGGUUCUAUUUUGUUGGUUUCUAGGACCGCCGUAAUGAUUAAUAGGGAUAGUCGGGGGCAUCAGUAUUCAAUCGUCAGAGGUGAAAUUCUUGGAUUGAUUGAAGACUAACUACUGCGAAAGCAUUUGCCAAGGAUGUUUUCAUUAAUCAGUGAACGAAAGUUAGGGGAUCGAAGACGAUCAGAUACCGUCGUAGUCUUAACCAUAAACUAUGCCGACUAGGGAUCGGACGGUGUUAGUAUUUUGACCCGUUCGGCACCUUACGAGAAAUCAAAGUUUUUGG